rnacentral:rRNA from 1 species
CAAUGGGGGAACCCUGAAUGCAGCAACGCCGCGUGAAGGAAGAAGUAUUUCGGUAUGUAAACUUCUAUCGACAGGGGAAGAAACAAAUGACGGUACCUGAAUAAGAAGCACCGGCUAACUACGUGCCAGCAGCCGCGGUAAAACGUAGGGUGCAAGCGUUGUCCGGAAUUACUGGGUGUAAAGGGAGCGCAGGCGGGAAGACAAGUUGGAAGUGAAAACCAUGGGCUCAACCCAUGAAUUGCUUUCAAAACUGUUUUUCUUGAGUAGUGCAGAGGUAGAUGGAAUUCCCGGUGUAGCGGUGGAAUGCGUAGAUAUCGGGAGGAACACCAGUGGCGAAGGCGGUCUACUGGGCACCAACUGACGCUGAGGCUCGAAAGCAUGGGUAGCAAACAGGAUUAGAUACCCUGGUAGUCCAAGGGCGAAUUC